rnacentral:rRNA from 1 species
AUACGGAGGGUGCAAGCGUUAAUCGGAAUUACUGGGCGUAAAGCGUACGUAGGCGGUUCGUUAAGUUAGAUGUGAAAGCCCCGGGCUUAACCUGGGAACUGCAUUUAAAACUGGCGAACUUGAGUUGAGUAGAGGGGAGUGGAAUUUCAGGUGUAGCGGUGAAAUGCGUAGAGAUCUGAAGGAACACCAGUGGCGAAGGCGACUCCCUGGACUCGAACUGACGCUGAGGUACGAAAGCGUGGGUAGCAAACGGGAUUAGAUACCCUAGUAGUCC